CCUUACCUGGUUGUUGCUAAUCUUUUUGGAAGUAUUACUUCAUUAAAGAAGUUGUCAAACUCAUUUUCCAAAAAGGAAUGGAUGAAGUUAUAUCUAAAAUUUUUGAUAGAAUUCUAACUCCCUCAAAUUUCAUUUCUGUGGUUACUAAAUGCCAAAGACUUAGUUAUGUGUGUUGAGUUUUUAUUUUUUGAGAAAUCUAUAAUGAUGUGGAAUUCAAAGUGUGUACAACAAAAAGUAGUUUGUUACUUUUAGACUUGAUGUUUGUACAGUCAUUUAGUAUGCAUUAGACACAACUAUUUGAUAGUAGACAUUGGGAUAAUUAAUACAUGUAAAUAAUUUAAAUUUCUCAAUUUUGCGUUGAUUCCAUUGCUCCUUUUGCCAAACUAAAAAAAAAAUUAACAGAUGACAAGAAUUGGGAUGAUUUAAAGAUCUUAGCUCUUCUAUUAGCUGGAUACUUGAUUUAUUAAGUAAUAAAUGACUAAUCAGAAUUGAAAUAAACUAGGCAGGUCCACUAUGCCUGGCCAUCAGUGGAUUUGAUGUUUCAUUACGUCAUAUUCUGUAAACCUUCCACCUCUUUUCCUCCUCCUUGUUUCUUCCUUUCACCAUUUUAUCAAUUUGAAAACCUCCCAGAAAGCUCCCAGUUGCUGGGUGUGUAGUGUGGAUGGGAGUCCAUUCCGGAACUGUCAUGUAUAGAAAUGUGUAUUGUUCUGAUCCUUCCAUACCCUCCCCGAGCACAGAUAUUAGCAGAGGCUGUGACACCCAGCUCCUCAGAAAUGCCAUCACAUCCUGUGACACCAGUGAUUUCAUAACUGGACCUUUCGUUCCUCAGACUACUUGGGAAUUAGUUAGCCACCGAGCUUCUUAGAUUGUAAUACUUCAUCUAGAGGCAUCUCCCGUUUAGGAUAUUCCCCGGCAUUCUGAUGCUACAGAAGGCAUUUUUGGGAGCAGUAGAACCAUCAGUACAUUGGAACCUUAAGAAGCUACUAGUUUCAUAUUCGUUGCAGUUUCUCUCUCCUGGUAAACAGAGAUGGCUUUGUUUAAGAAACAAUCAGGAGGCUGGUUGCCCCUCUCAUUUCUAUCAGUACAAGAGUACAAGUCAAGUGAUUUCUUGAGCAUACAGGAAUAUCAGGAGUGUCUGUGGUUUAUACAGUCUGCUCCUUUUUGAUACUUCUUGGAGUAUAUGCUGUUAGGUGAAUAGGCACUAAGCAAUUUUGCAAAGAUGUCAGCUCCUUGGAAGAAAUGGGAUGGAGACUAUGACCACUUGCUUUUGACAUCUAUUAAAAGAUAACCCUCUACACUGGGCUGAAUAUCCCUGCUUAAUUUUUUUUAAAGAUUUAUUUAUUUUAUUUGAAAGUCUGAGUUACACAAAGAGAGAAAGAGAGGUCUUCCAUCUGCUUGUUCGCUCUCUAAUUGACUGCAAUGGUCAGAGCUGCGCCGACCCAAAGCCAGGAGCCUGGAGCUUCUUCCAGUGCAGGGGCCCAAGGACUUGGGCCAUCUUCCACUGCUUUCCCAGGCCAUCCUGCUUGAUUUUUGACAGCAGAAAAGGAUGCAUAGUUCUCCUGGAGGGGUGCUUCAGGCAGUGUGUAGAGUUCAGCAUAAUGCACUUGCACUAUGUUCUAGUUGGAAGCUUGACCACCCAAACUCCGAUCUGCAGCCACAUGUUACCAUUUCUCACCUGUCAGACCAGCAAGAAGUAAAAAGUGCGGGAGCCUGUGCUAUUGACCAUACUGUGGGAAAACAGGCGCUCUCUCCUACUGCUAGAGGGAAUGUAGACUGGUGUCAUCAUUCAGUAGAGAACUUGGCAAUAUCUAACAAAACUACACCUAUGAACUUCACCUGGAAAGCCACUCCAACAAUACAAAAUUACAUUCUUUCAGAGGAAACCUAUAGUUGACAUGGACUCUAGGCCAACAGCACAACUGCAACAGGGCACAAGACAUUGGGACUAGGGAGGCCACUUUUCAACAUCCUAUGAACUGCAUCUAAAACAGCCACAAAAAUCUGGACAGAGUUCCCACAUUUCUCACCACCAGCACAUUUAGGUUGGAUUAAUACCAAAUCCGGCACCAUUGUCCUACAACAAGUAGCAGGCCUGUGGUAGAAUGGAAAGUUGAGACGUGGACCCAGAUGGAAAUUUAAUAUGUGAUAGCAGCAGAGUGAUAAGCCUUUCAGUAAAUGGUAUGGAAACAACUGGCUUGCCUUUUGGAAGAAAAAGAUAAAAGCACAUCUUUAUGUCACUCCAUGCACAGGAACAAACUCCAGAUGGAACAGAGACCUAAAUGUAAAAAAUGUGAACAAAACAAACACUACCCAGAAAUUAAUGAAUUAUUUUAGAACAUACACUAAGGAAUUUUUUUCUAUAACUUAAAACUAGUUUUAGUAGAAGAAAAGAUGAAUAGUUUUAAUUAGAAUACAUUUAAAAAGUACUGGGCAAUGAAACAGACCUAUAAACAAACACGUAAGAUUUGCAAUCUAACAUUAAGAGUUGAUAUCCCCAGUAUAUAAAAGACUGCUCAGAAUUAAGAAAACCAAAAACUUGGCAAGACAACAGACAAAAGACAUAAUCAAUUUUAACAUCAAGAUAUCUGUACAUUGUCUUAAACAUAAAAGGAUAUUCAACCCUUAUUCAUUAUAAGCAAAAAAGGAAAUUUAAAAAAUACAGAGUACUAUUUAUAGCCUAUUCAUGUUAACAAAAACUAAACCAUACAGGGUAACUUAUUCUGCUGUCCUGACUGGAAAAAUCAGAUUUUUUCUUAUAAUUUUGUUGGCAGUACAAGUGGGUAUGAUCCUGUUGGAAAGAAAUGUGGACAAGUGUAACACAACUACACACAAAUUUACCUUUUGAUCCAGCAAUCCCAUUUCUAGGAAAUUGCCCUGAGGAUACAUUUCACAGUACUAAAACACGUGGUGACAUUGUGUUGAAACAAUCAAAAUGCUCAUACUUUGGAGAAUGGGUGAAAAGGGGUACACCCACAAAACUGAGUACUAGGCAGCUGCAGCUAUCAAAAAGAAAAAUGAAGAUCUCUAUGAACUGAUAUGAAGUGAUUUUUAGAACAUAUUGUUAAGUGAAAGAAUAAAAUUUAGAAGGCAUAUUAUACUGCUUUCUGUGUAAUAAAAAAGAGGAAUAAGAUAUAGAAGGAGAAGUAAAUGAGAAUAGGAUAGAAGAAAUAGGAGAAAGGACAAUUCUUAGAAAAGAACUUUUUCUUACAUCUAACAUUUAGAACCAUAUUACUAUUUCAUAUGCUCAAAAAAAGCAAAGCCAUGCAUCCAAAAAGAAUGAGAAUGACCUUAAACAGAAUUGAAACAGAAACAAGUGAUUCUACUCCAUUUCAAAGGAAUAACAUAACCACAACUGAGGUGUGGGUAAGAGGUAGUUAAAAAGUGACCCAAGUGAUUUCUGAAGACUUAUCAUAAAAUAACUUUCUGUAAAAGGCCCAGGGAAGAUAUAGAAAGUCAUAACACCAUUAUGUCAAAUAAUAACAUUGAAUGUGUAAUGUAAGAAAUUUUCACACCCACAAAAAAAGAUGCCCAGGCUCAAAUGGCUUCACCAGCAAUUUUCUCCAAAUAUUUAGGGAUAAAAAUAGCACAAAUCUUACCAAAUUAUUCCAGCAAAUUGAAAAAGAAUUACUAUUUCCUGACUUUACCUAAUAGGGUACUAUCACCUUAAUCAUAAAAGCUGACAAGAAUAUUAUAAGAAAGAAAAAACACACACAAGCCAAGGUUAUAUUUGUCUGAACAACUCAAAACUCAUUUAAUAUCCAAAUCCAAUUAAUGUAAUUCAUGAUAUUUAGAGGAGAAAAAGUAAAAUAAUGAUUUUCUUAAUAAAUUUUUUAUGACAUUCAACAGCCAUUCAGUUUCUUUAUAAAGGAAAAAUAGAAGCUCCUCUAGCAACCUAGGAACAGAGGAAGCUCCUCUAAACUUAUCUAUUAAAAAGUCGUUGGCAAAUCCUAUACUUGGCUGUAAAGUAAAGCCCCUUCCCUGAGUUUGGGAUCCCACUCCUUUGAACAGCACAUUGCAGACAGUGCAACUGUUGUCAAACAGCAGGCCUGCUCUGCUCACAUGCAGCCCCGCUAUUAUUAGAACAGCACUGAGCACAUCUCUGAGGAAGAGAAGUUGCAUUAUCCAGACCUGUCAGGAGAUGUGAGGAAUGAAACCAACAAAACCAAACCCACCUCCCCAUUUAGAAAGGGCUUUGGGAAUUUGUGGAGUUCGGGUAAAUGAGGUGUAACUGGAUGAAGCUGACAGAAUACUAUGGGAUUGGAGGAAAGGGAUGCGGGAAGUCCUCGGAGCAUGUGCGUUCAUUUACUGUGCCUCCGCACGCCUGUGUGUUCAGGAGUGGCGCUGCAUUGUGGGUCACGGAAGCUGUGUCAGCCGAUGUUCUAAUGAAACCCAAGGUAACGCUCCUCUAAGUUUGAGUUGAUCUGCACAAGCUGCAGUCACCAUUCUGAUUGCAGCCAGUUCUUUCCAGUUUUAGCAGAGUCCCUAAAAAGACAGCUCAGAAGAUUUUUAGCAAAGACAACUAUUAUGAAAUAGCAAGUUACUAUGCAACAGGCAGGCAGGCAAAUGACUAUUAUGGGCUGUUAGUAUGUUAAGCAGAUAAGGGAAGCUUUCUUCUAAGCAAGGGAGGAGAAUCCUUUAUUGCACAUAGUUUCACAGCAAGGCAAAGGCAAAGAAAGUUUAAAAGAAUUGGAAAGGAAGACAUAACACUAAUUAUUUGCAGAUGGCACAAUUGUGGAUGCAAAAAUAUCCAAAUGGUUCUAUGGAACUCUGGAAAAAUUGGUAGAAUUAGCUUGGACAAUAAUCCGGUCUCAGUCUGUCUUGUUUCCUCAAAGGCAGGCUCUCCAUGGCGAUUGUCAGGCUGCUUUGUGAAUAUGUAAGAGCUGCUGUUUUUGCUGAUUCUCAGCUGCUGCCACAUUGAGUUUGUAUCUCCUACAGAUAUCUUGGGAAAUUCACACUCUUAUUCACUGCCUUAUCUCGUUCACAUCUUUAAAAAUGUUCCUGGUCGCCCAUGCUUAUGUUUUAGAUGCCUAAGUCUCAAGCCCUUCCUCCUCAAAAGUGCUUUGAACACUUAUUUAUAAAAUUUCUCAGCAAACUUUCCUUUUUAAAUUUUUUAAAGAUUUAUUUAUUUACUUGAAGGGUGGAGCUACAGAAAGGCAGAGGCAGAGAGACAGAGAGAGGGAGGUCUUCAAUCGGCUGGUUCACUCCCCAGGAAUCCACUGGUUCACUCCCCUGAUGGCCGCAACGGCUGGAAGUGGGCCGAUCCGAAGCCAGGAGCCUGGAGUAUCUUCCGAGUCUCCCACGUGGGUGCCGGGGCCCAAGGAUUUGGGCCAUCUUCUACUGCUUUCCCAGGCCAUACAUAACAGAAAACUGGAUUGGAAGAGGAGCAGCCUGGACUUGAACAGGUGCCCAUAUGCGAUGUCAGCACUGCCGGCGGCAGCAAACUUUAAAAAGUAGGCUGCGGCCGGCGCCGCGGUUCACUAGGCUAAUCCUCUGCCUCGCGGCGCCGGCACACAGGGUUCUAGUCCCGGUCGGGGCGCCGGAUUCUGUCCCGGUUGCCCCUCUUCCAGGCCAGCUCUCUGCUGUGGCCAGGGAGUGCAGUGGAGGAUGGCCCAGGUCCUUGGGCCCUGCACCCCAUGAGAGACCAGGAGAAGCACCUGGCUCCUGCCAUCGGAUCAGCGCGGUACGCCGGCCGCAGCGCGCCGGCCGUGGCGGCCAUUGGAGGGUGAACCAACGGCAAAGGAAGACCUUUCUCUCUGUCUCUCUCUCUCACUGUCCACUCUGCCUGUCAAAAAUAAAUAAAUUAAUUAAUUAAAAAAAGUAGGCUGAAACUCAUUGAGGCCCAAUGGGAAGCCCUGAUAUGUUCAUUUGUAGCUUUUAAAUGAAAAACAUUUUAUUUCUCAUGGUAUACAUAGUAAAAAUAAAGAAUAACAAUAAAAGUCUUCUAACAACAGCUCAUCCCCUGGAGGGGCAUGUGUUUCAAGUGUGACAAGAAAACAGAACAAUAAGCCGGCGCCUUGGCUCACUAGGCUAAUCCUCCGACUUGCGGCACCGGCACACCGGGUUCUAGUCCCGGUCGGGGCGCCGGAUUCUGUCCCGGUUGCCCCUCUUCCAGGCCAGCUCUCUGCUGUGGCCAGGGAGUGCAGUGGAGGAUGGCCCAGGUCCUUGGGCCCUGCACCCCAUGGGAGACCAGGAGAAGCACCUGGCUCCUGCCAUCGGAUCAGCGUGGUGCGGCGGCCAUUGGAGGGUGAACCAAUGGCAAAGGAAGACCUUUCUCUCUGUCUCUCUCUUUCUCUCUCUCACUGUCCACUCUGCCUGUCAAAAAAUUUUAAAAAAAAGAAAACAUAACAAAAUAUUAUAUAUUUAAAAUUCAUAGGUUGUAAAAACAUAUGUGUAUAUGUAGUACUUUAGAAAGCAAUUAUAUGGGGUCACUGACCGAGAUGCUGGCAUCACAAAGCAGAAUGCCUCGGUUUGGUACUCACCUCUGGCCUGUAAUUCCACGUCUGCUGCAAGUGAUGGCUCAUGUAAUUGGGUUCCUGCCACUACAUGGUAAACCUGGGGUGAGUUCCUGCCUUCAGCCUAGGCAGGCCCUAGCUGUCGUGGUUAUUUGGGAACUGAAGCAGUAGAUGGGAGAUCUCUGUGUGACCCUUGGGAAAAAAAAAGGAUUGCAAUUGUAAGCCAAUUCUUAAAAGAUGUUUUAAAGCUUUGUUUUAUUUAUUUGAAGGAAAGAAUGGAUGAGAGAAAGAGAGAGAGAGAGAGAGAGAGAGAGAGAGAGAGUGCUUCCAUAUGCAGGUUCACUCCCCAAAUGUCAACAGCCAGGAACUCCAUCUUGGUCUGCCACGUGGGUGGCAGGGGCCCAAGUAUCUGGGCCAUCUUCCACUGCCUUCCCAAGCACAUUAGCAGGGAGCUGGGCUGAAAGUGGAGCAGUCAGGACUUGAGCCAGGACUCUUAUGUGGGAUGCUAACAUUGCAAGCAGAGGCUUAACCUGCUGUACUACAACACCAGCCCCUAAGCCAGGUUUUUUUUUUUUUUUAAUUAUAUUAUAUACUGAUGUAUUUCUAAAAACUGGAAUUAGUGGCUGCAAAGUAUCUCAUUCAAUGGAUGUAGCAUAGUUUAUACACUCAUUUCUACAUUGAGAUAGUUCUCUUUUUUCUGCUACAAGUAAUGUGACCGCAUAAACCUUUGCAUAGCAAUCGUUUCGCUAUUUAGGAAAUAUAUAUCAGAAGGAAAAUUACUGGAUGUGUGAGAUAUGGGCACUUAAGGUCUGAUUCACCCUAAAAUGCUGGUUUUUUUUUUUUUUUCAGAGGGAUUAUACCAAUUCAGACUGCCAGGGCAGUACAUGAUACCUUCAUGUUACUACAGCCUGAUUAGCACUGCUAAUUACUAUUGUGGAAGGCCACUGAGAAGAACCUGCCUCCUUAACCCCAGCUAAAUGGGCAACCAGCCUUAAGAGUCAGCCCAGAAGAAUCCUAACCCAAGUCCUUGUCACCAUUUUUCUACAAAAAAGGCACAGCAUCCCUGUUUAUCAGUGGUCAGAGUUAAGAAGAAUCAUCCAAUCAUCUCCAAGAAGAGUUCAUGCCCACCCUGACUGAUUCCAACAGUCCUUAUGAUACAAGUUCCCUGAGUUUUCACACACAUCAUCGUUGAUUCUCCAGUCACUUAUUAUGCAGUAGGGAACAUGAUCCCAAAUCUACAAAUAAAAACAAGAAACACAGAAGAGUUGACUUCUCCUGUGCCAACCAGUAAAAGGUGGAGUUACAGUGAGAGAGAGAGACGGAGAGAAAGGUCUUCCUUCCGUUGGUUCACUCCCCAAAUGGCCGCCACGGCCAGUGCUGCACUGAUCUGAAGCCAGGAGCCAGGAGCUUCCUCCUGGUCUCCCAUGCAGGUGCAGGGCCCAAGCACUUGGGCCAUCCUCCACUACUUUUCCAUGCCACAGCAGAGAGCUGGACUGGAAAAGGAGCAGCCGGGACUAGAACCCGGCGCCCACAUGGGAUGCUGGCACAGCAGGCAGAGGAUUAACCAAGUCAUUUCCACAAUCUACCUCCCGCCUUGCUCCGGGUACAUACUACCAAACAAAGCCCUCCUUACAAUGAAAUGUCUCUUUAAUCAUAAAAUAUGAAGGGGGACACAGGACAAGGAUACUGGAGUUCAACCUGGUAAACAGCCUAUGCAUGGUAAGCCUCAACUCUGUGUGUGCUGUUUGGUUCAUGCUUCAGUCAUGUGAGACUGUCAGCAUCCCCAUGGGGCCUUCCAGAGCUGACCCAGCCCCUAUUAUGA